rnacentral:rRNA from 1 species
AUUGAACGCUGGCGGCAGGCCUAACACAUGCAAGUCGAGCGAGCGGCGGACGGGUGAGUAAUGUAUGGGGACUGCCCGAUAGAGGGGGCUAACUACUGGAAACGGUAGCUAAUACCGCAUACUAUCGGAUAACCCAUAUGGGAUUAGCUAGUAGGUGAGGUAAUGGCUCACCUAGACGAAGAUCCCUAGCUGGUCUGAGAGGAUGAUCAGCCACACUGGGACGUGGACACGCCCCAGAUGCCGACGGGGGCAGCAGUGGGGAAGAUUGCACAAUGGGCGCAAGCCUGAUGCAGCCAUGCCGCGUGUAUGAAGAAGGCCCUAGGGUUGUAAAGUACUUUCAGUCGGUAGGCGGUACCGACAGAAGAAGCACCGGCUAACUCCGUGCCAGCAGCCGCGGUAAUAC